rnacentral:rRNA from 1 species
UACGGAGGGUGCAAGCGUUAUCCGGAUUCACUGGGUUUAAAGGGUGCGUAGGUGGGAAUGUAAGUCAGUGGUGAAAUCUCCGUGCUUAACAUGGAAACUGCCAUUGAUACUAUGUUUCUUGAAUUUUCUGGAGGUAAGCGGAAUAUGUCAUGUAGCGGUGAAAUGCUUAGAUAUGACAUAGAACACCAAUUGCGAAGGCAGCUUGCUACAGGGAUAUUGACACUGAGGCACGAAAGCGUG